CGGUUUGGAGAUCUUCGGGACCCUUGGUUUCCCCCUCCAGCUGGGCGUUCCGCCCCUGGCCUACGAAACCCCACCUCCUCAUCCUCUGCUGACCCGGAUUGGUGGACCUCCCGCGGCGAUGCCUAGCGAUUGGUCCCCAUGGAUGAUGGUGACCAGCGAGACUCCGCCCCAGCCGGCGUUGGGGUCUGGGGGCACUGCUCAGCGGUGCUGGGCUGGCGAGGCUGGAGCCGCCGCCGCACUGACAGCUCCGUCUGUGGACCAUGGAGACUGGCGCCGGUCCACACCCGCUGCGCCUGUUCGUCUGCCUGAUACCACUCUGCCUUGCUCUGCUUCUGGGACCUGGGCGCCCCGGGACCGCCGAAGAAGUUAUCCUCCUGGACUCCAAAGCCUCCCAGGCUGAGCUGGGCUGGACUGCACUGCCAAGCACUGGGUGGGAGGAGAUUAGUGGCGUGGAUGAACACGACCGUCCCAUCCGCACGUACCAAGUGUGCAACGUGCUGGAGCCCAACCAGGACAACUGGCUUCAGACAGGCUGGAUCAGCCGCGGCCGCGGGCAGCGCAUCUUCGUGGAGCUGCAGUUCACACUGCGCGACUGCAGUAGCAUACCAGGUGCCACGGGCACCUGCAAAGAGACCUUCAACGCAUACUACCUAGAAACCGAGACCGACCUGGGCCGAGGGCGUCCCCGCCUAGGAGGCAACCGACCCCGCAAGAUUGACACCAUCGCAGCUGAUGAGAGCUUCACGCAGGGUGACCUGGGGGAGCGAAAGAUGAAGCUGAACACAGAGGUGCGUGAGAUCGGCCCCCUCAGCCGGCAAGGCUUCCACCUGGCCUUCCAGGACGUGGGUGCGUGCGUGGCGUUGGUCUCGGUGCGUGUCUACUACAAGCAGUGCCGCGCCACAGUGCGGGGCCUGGCAGCCUUCCCCGCCACCGCAGCUGAGAGCGCCUUCUCCACGCUGGUGGAAGUGGCUGGAACGUGCGUGGCCCACUCGGAAGGGGAGCCCAGCAGCCCUCCCCGCAUGCACUGUGGUGCCGAUGGCGAGUGGCUGGUGCCUGUGGGCCGUUGCAGCUGCAGUGCAGGAUUCCAGGAACAUGGUGACAUCUGUGAAGCUUGUCCCCCAGGGUUUUACAAGGUGUCCCCAAGGAGGCCCCUCUGCUCGCCCUGCCCGGAGCACAGCUUGGCCCUGGAGAAUGCUUCUACAUUCUGUGUGUGCCAGGACACCUAUGCUCGCUCGCCCACCGACCCGCCCUCAGCUUCCUGCACCCGGCCGCCGUCCGCGCCGCGGGACCUGCAGUACAGCCUGAGCCGCUCCCCGCUGGCGCUGCGGCUGCGCUGGCUGCCGCCUGCGGACUCAGGCGGCCGCUCCGACGUCACCUACUCGCUGCUGUGCCUGCGCUGCGGGCGCGACGGUCCAGCGGGCGCGUGCCAACCCUGCGGGCCGCGCGUGGCCUUCGUCCCGCGCCAGGCUGGGCUGCGGGAGCGCGCCGCCACGCUGCUGCACCUGCGGCCGGGCGCGCGCUACACCGUGCGCGUGGCCGCGCUCAACGGCGUCUCAGGCCCGGCUGCCGCCGCGGGAGCCACCUAUGCGCAGGUCACAGUGUCCACCGGACCCGGGGGUAAGGCCGCGCGCCCCAUGGGAGACCGUCCCCCACUCCCAGGUGCAGUUCCCUCGCAAGCAUCCCAAGGAAUUCAGGAACCCACGUGACUUUCCCCCCCAACUCUAAUCCCGGAUCCAGGUGGUGCCUAGAUGUCCCCACUUCUCCCCUCCACCCCCUUUGCGAACUCAGCCACCUUGCAGGAGCAGGGACACAGGCAGGUUCAGAACGCAGGCAACAGAGUGGUGGCGCUACUCUGAGUUUCCAGCGGGAUGAAAACCACCUUUGACAUCACACCCUCCGCAUCCUUGACAUUUUCUUCUGAUUUGUCUCUCCUCUGGUGCACACUUUCAAGUAAUCCCUCGAGUGCCCUCUGCAAGAUGGAUAAGCGCAUACGGUGGCUUUCCCAUCUGAUUGGUGUGUGACCCUCCUUCCCUGUCUUCUGUGACCCUACCCUGUCGGUUGGGUUUCCAGCGAGGCCUGGGGUGAUUUUCAUUCUUUUGUAAGUACCUUGGGUGUAGAGAUGUGCACACACAGGGGUGUUUGAAUAAUUUCUUAGCCUGCCGAUGAAAAUGAAGAAACAUAGCCAAUAUGAUUUCUUUUCACUCUCGCCUGGCUGAAGCACAGUAGACCCUUUGAUCCGAACUUUCUUUUUUCACUCCUGGGGAAGUUUUCUUGGUAGCUGCUUUGAGUGGCCUCCCUAUGUAUCUCUUAACCCAAUCUUUAAGCCUUGGGUUUUCCAUCCCUUUUCUCAUUCUCACAUUCUCACAUCUUGUCACUUUUUCGCUCUUAAUCCCUUUCCUAGGACUUUGAGAGCGAUUUCCCAAUCUACCUGGUUUUCUGGGACACUUCUGUUCUUUAUUGUUUCUGUUGGGACUUAACCCUUGCUAUUGCGUUUACAUUUUGAACAGGUCAAGGCCUGAGAGUGUAGCUCAAAGGUGUCACAUUUGCCGAGCACGCUAGAGGCAUUGGGCUUGUUCACAGGUAGCAAAGAAGGAAGAAAAGAAACAGAGAGGCGUGUCCAAUCCCAGCACUCAGUUCAAGGUCAUUCUGACACACAAAAUGAAUCUGAGCUCAGUCUGGGCCACAGGAAACUUUGUCUUAAAGAAUAAAAGUGUGGCCAGGCGUGAUGGUACACUCCUUUAGUGUUGGUACGUGUGAGAGACAGAGACACGCAGAAUCUCUGUUAGUUUGAGGCCUGCCUGGUCUACACUGGGAGUUCCAGGACAGCCAGGGCUAUACAGAGAGACUUUGCCUUAAAAGGAAAACAAACAAGCAAACAAAAAACCCAAAAAUCAAACCAACCAAAACAAAACAACCCAACUAGUAUUAUCGCUACAAUGUUUUAUACAUACGACUAUUUCUAUAAAACUCUCUCUAUAAUAUGUAUAUAUGUAUGUAACAAAUAUAAUAUUUACACAUAGUAUAUUAUUAUAUUUUCUCAUUAUUUUAUGUUCCUGAGUGUUCUGCCUGCAUGUGUGUCUGUGUACCGUGCUUGUGCUUAGUAGCAACAGAGCUCAGAAGAGUAUACUGGAUCUCCUGGAACUGGAGUUACAGACAGUUGCUGUGAGCUGCCAUAUGGGUACUGGGAAUGGAACCCAGGUCCUCUGGAAGAGCAGCCAAUGUUCUUAACCACUGAGCCACCUCUUCAGCCCCAGGCAGUGUCUUAUGUAGCCAAGGCUGGCCUCUUGAGUUGGCUGCUCUGGUCUCUACCUCUCAAGUGUUGGAAUUUUAGGAAUAGCCCAAUCUACAUGGUUCUAGGAAGCAAAUUACGGUUUCCUGCAUGCUAGACAAAUGUCUACCAACUGAGACUGGUCAAGCCUGUACACCCCCUUUUGUGCAUCAAGGUCUCACUAUAUUCUUCUGGCUGGCCUAGAAUUUGCUAUGUAGAUCAGGCUGGCCUCAAACUCAUAGAAAUCUACUUGCCUCUGCUUUUUGAGUCCUGUGAUUACAGUUUUGUGCCAUCAUGCCUGACCCUUUAAAAAUAUUUAAUUUGGGGGCUGGAGAGAUGGCUCAGCAGUUAAAAGCACCAUCUGCUCUUCCAGAGGUCCUGAGUUCAAUCCCCAGCAACUACAUGAUGUCUCAACACCAUCUACAAUAUGAACUAGAUCUGAUGUUCUCUUCUGACAUGCAGCCAUACCGCCGUGAACGAGCCAAUCUGGGCUGCACACUUUCUUAGCUCUUCAAACCACAGAAUGAGACUGAAGGAUGAGAAGCAAGCAGGAUGAGGAAAACUGGGAAGGCAAGCAGGGCUUUCCUUCCCAGUAGGCAACAAAAGUGAGAGAAGCCUUGGCCACAAAUUCUCCCUAAGCCCCUGGUCCUACCUAGACUUUGCCCUUCUGGCCUCACAGGCCACGCCCACAUUUAACCCCGCUCCCCUGUGCAUGCCCCGCUCCUUCUGCCCCCACCCGGAGCUUGUGGGCAGAGAGUCCAGGAGAGCAUCCCGCUUUGCUUACUCUCAGCACCAUGGGAAGAGGAUGAAAUCCGCAGGGACCGCGUGGAGCCCCAAAGCGUAUCGCUGUCGUGGCGAGAGCCUGUGCCUGCUGGAGCUCCUGGAACCAACAGCACAGAGUAUGAGAUCCGCUACUAUGAGAAGGGUCAGAGUGAGCAGACUUACUCCACAGUGAAGACAGGAGCACCGGCUGUCACUGUCACCAACCUGAAGCCUGCUACCAGAUACGUUUUUCAGAUCCGGGCGGCCUCCCCAGGACCUUUGUGGGAGGCCCAGAGCUUCAGUCCAAGCAUUGAAGUGCAGACUCCAGGGGAAGUUGCCCCAGGGUCCAGGGACCAGAGCCCUGCAGUGGUUGUCACCGUGGUGACCAUCUCAGCCCUCUUGGUCCUGGGCUCCGUGAUGAGUGUGUUGGCCAUCUGGAGGAGGCCCUGCGAUGGCAAAGGAAGUGGCAACGCCCAUGACGAAGAGGAACUGUAUUUCCACUUCAAAGUCCCGACACGACGCACGUUCCUGGACCCCCAAAGCUGCGGGGACCCGUUGCAGGCUGUGCAUCUGUUUGCCAAAGAACUAGAUGCCAAAAGCGUCACCCUGGAGAAGAGCCUGGGAGCAGGCAAGCCCUGGACCCCAGAAGCCUGGAUCCAUCAGGGAGCUCCGCACACUGGAUAAACCCCACCCACCAGGCAACACCCACUAUGGAAAGCCCCACGUCUUCGCCACCUCUUUUCUGAAAGCCCGUCCCCCACCCAUGGCCCGAAGCCCCGCCUCUGCACUAAGGGCACCCCUUCCCUGAAAGCCCCUCGCCCACCUGAAGUAUCUGUGACUCUGCACUCUCUUGGUCUGUUCCCUAGGUCCCUGUGGGACAUCUGCCUCCGGACCAUUCUCCAGGCAGUCUCAAAUUUAGACCCAGGCUUUUAUGGAGUAGUGAGGAGAGGUUUUUCCAGGAAGCUUCGGGCCAGACACACCUGAGGUCUGAUGAUGGAUUAGCGGAGUGACUAAGAGGCUCACCCUCGUCAGCUCUGAACCUCAAUUUCUCGCCUAAAAGGCUGCUAUGGGAACUCCGCAGGCUCAGGGCACCUUGCUGGCUUGUUACUGUGCUCCAAGAAACAGGCCUCUCCCCAGAACCCACACCACAGAAGGCAGGAAGAGCUGUAGGGCAGAACAGAUGUAGUUGUCACUUGCCCUGGGCUUUGCAGCAUCUAAUGACCUUUGAUGGGCAAGCAUGUGCAAAGUUACUGUGUCUCUAUCACACAGGAGACUAAGUAAGGCCAAGAGGAAAGAAAAAAAAAAAGGAGACCAAGGUUAAAUGCUUCAAACUCAAGAGCUUCCCACAGCAAGCUGGAAAGGACCCCAUGAGCCAGAGUUACCUUGUUUCGGUCUACCCCAUUUGUUGGUGGGAGUCUGAGAUGCCUGUUUCUUCACAGGACGAUUUGGGGACCUGUGCUGCGGCUGCCUGCAGCUGCCCGGUCGCCAGGAACUGCCCGUGGCCGUGCACACUCUGAGGGAUGGCUGCUCAGACUCCCAGAGGCUCAGCUUCCUGGCUGAGGCUCUCACCCUGGGGCAGUUUGACCAUAGCCACAUUGUGCGGCUGGAAGGCGUUGUCACCCGAGGAAACCCCUUGAUGAUUGUCACUGAGUACAUGAACCUCGGGGCCCUUGAUGACUUCCUCAGGCAUCACGAGGGGGAGCUGGUGGCUGCGCAGCUGAUGGGUCUGCUGCCUGGGCUGGCAUCGGCCAUGAAGUAUCUGUCGGAGAUGGGCUACGUUCACCGGGGCCUUGCAGCCCGCCGAGUGCUUGUCAGCAGUGGCCUCCUCUGUAAGAUCUCUGGCUUUGGGCGUGGUCCCCGGGACCGAGCAGAAGCUGUCUACACUACCAUGGUAAGGAGCCCCCUUCUUUGCUCGCAUGUGCUGUUUCUCUCCUUUCAGCCUCCUUCCCUACCUUGUCUCUUCCCUCUGGUGGUACCAUGCCUGUGUCAGCCUGGCAGCUUCCUCAGAUGUGGAGGGGUGAGGGGAAGACAUGUGGGACUGGCUGUAGUAGGUGCUGGUGGCCUGCCUGGAUGAAGCCUGCUGGUGACUUAAUGCUUUCCUGCUCUGCCCUGCUUACCCACCUAGAGUGGCAGGAGCCCAGCGCUCUGGGCAGCUCCUGAGACUCUACAGUUUGGCCACUUCAGUUCUGCUAGUGAUGUGUGGAGCUUUGGCAUUGUCAUGUGGGAGGUGAUGGCCUUUGGGGAGCGGCCCUACUGGGAUAUGUCUGGACAAGAUGUAAGUAUGGCUCCAGCUCCCUGACCUCUUAGCUUCCAGACUUCUCACUCCCAUCCCGCCUAGAGUCCCUGGGAUGGUGGUGGGUGGUAGUGGUGGUGGUGGUGGUGGUGUGGUGUGUAUGUUGGGUAAUUGGAAGCAUCCUGUCUGCUCCCCAUCACUGGAGCCUAGGUAAUCAAGGCCGUGGAGGAUGGCUUCCGGCUGCCGCCCCCCAGGAACUGUCCCUCCCAACUGCAUCGACUGAUGCUCGAGUGUUGGCAGAAAGAUCCAAGUGAACGGCCCAGGUUUUCCCAGAUCCACAGCAUCCUGAGCAAGAUGGGGCAGGAGCCAGAACCCUCCAAGUGUGCCUCGACCACCUGUCUCAGGCCUCCCACACCCCUGGCAGACCGUGCCUUUUCUACCUUCCCCUCCUUUGGCUCCGUGGGUGCCUGGCUGGAGGCCCUAGACCUGUGCCGCUACAAGGACAACUUCUCUGCAGCGGGCUACGGGAGCCUAGAGGCCGUGGCUGAGAUGACUGCCCAGGACCUGGGGAGCCUUGGCAUCUCUUCCGCAGAGCAUCGAGAAGCCCUCCUUAGUGGGAUCAGUGCCCUGCAGACUCGAGUGCUACAACUACAGGGUCAGGGGGUGCAAGUGUGAGCAGCUCAGCCCUGCCCAAGGACCUGCAAGCUACACUCCCGUUGGGUGGGAGGCGUGCUCUUCCUUAGUGGGCCCUGAGCUGGUUGGUACCACGUUGUCCCAUUUCAUUUUUCCUCUCAACACCUUGCUGACCUAGUGGUCCUAAAACGAGGUUCAGAUCCCUGGAUAGAACCCCAGACAUAACAGUAGGAAGAAGGUUAGGGUGUCAAGGGAAGAUUGGGGUGUCAAGGGUGUUGGUUGGGGAAGAGAGUUUCAGUUGUUGUCCUGGCUCAGGCCCCUUGAGCUUCCACACUCAGUGGGGAUUGGGCCUAAUCAGUGGGCAUCUCAUUUCCCUAGAGAGCUUUUGACUUGCCAGGCAGAAAGGGUCCCUGAGAGAGACCCAUUGGUUCUGGCAGGGACCACAGCUGCCUAGGCACCUGAGUACGGGAGCCUGAGCCAGUGGGUAGUGUCCCUUAUGUCCUGUGCCUUGGCUAGGUCUAUCUGCACACUGGUACCAAGGCCCUAGCAGGCAAGUGGUGCUGAGCUCAGGGUCUGGACCCCAGGGGGACACUCCAGAGCUAAUGUCUUCUUGCCUGGGGGUGGGCAGUUCAGGAUGAGAGCCAGGCUCCUACUUGGCCACACACAGUCCUGGUGCUUGCCCUAGGUCCGGAUGUCUGAUUUGAUUGCAACUGAUUUCAGAGGAGCACAAUAGGGGUGUUCUUCUGCAUUCUGGAGGGGAAAGAGACUGAGGAAGGGGUGUGAUAGGCUGAUCUAGCCCCACUAUAUACUUGGGGAAGUCAGAGCCUAUAUAUAGUCUCAGAGCCAGGGUCAAUGCCAAACCAAAAUCCAGGGAGAAGCCUAGCCCUGGAGAGAGCUUGUCCAGCCCUAUGGUACUAGCACUUGUCCCUGGGAGCACAGUUAAUCCUCUCUGGGUGAGCCCCUUCAGGCUGCUCAGUCCCUGUACACAACAAAAGAGUUUCCCUCCAGCGAGCCUCCCUGUAUGAUCUUCAGAGCUUUUGAAGGAGUAUGGUGCUAAGCUGACCUAUCUGCAAGGGCCUUGAGACCAAAGCCAUCCCAGGAGGGCAGAAAGGCCGCUGGAUGUGGACAGGACAAUGGAGGUUAAGUUUGUCUACAUGACCCCUGAUGGAAGCCUGUUUUGCUAUGUAGGGAGGAGAGGUGGCAUGGGAUGAGACAGAGCAGGUGAGAGUGGAGAGGGGUAGGCGGGAUAGAGAACACCUCUGGAGGGGAUCCCCCCAGGCACAGGGGAAUGGGCAGGAUUGUGGAUGUUUGCAUAGUGGGGUGUCCAAAAAGGCUUCUUAAAGUCAAAACUGAACAAGGCCUUGCAGGGCAGUGUGUCCUCUCCUUAGGGUGAAUGGCAUCAGCAGGCUCAGGGUCCAAGCAAGGAUGUCUUAACAGAGAGCCUGGAGGGGGGCUGUAAACCACACUGCAUCUUUGAAUACCGCAGAGUGGGGAGCAGUGGCUCCCAGCAGUGCCUUUGGCCUUGACCUGCCCUCAGCAGCAGCUCCCUCAGAGCCUCCCCCAUUUCCAGCUGUCUGCUCCCUGGGCACCUGAGCUCCGCGACUGGGGAAUACUGGGACACUCCCACCUUUGACAGAACUGGGGUUAUUGAAGCACUUCAUCCUCCCUCCAGGGAAAACUGGCCCAACAUCCAAGGCUCAUGGGGACCAGUGCCCUGUCUUGGGUGAUCAACCUCACCCUCAUCUCCAGCUACAUCAGUCAUUAAGGUCAAAGUCCUCCCCUCCCCAGCUGUUUGCAGAGGGGUCCCUGGCUGUGUUGGCAGGACUUCGGUGUCCAGGGUAGACCUCCCCUCUCAUGAGGAGGUCCUAGAAUCCUGAGGGGUCCCAGGCCUCAUCCUGCACAGGCACCAGCAUGAUACAGGGUGCUGGGUCACUGGGGACCCUCCGCAGAUUUAUUUUUAUAUAUGGAGCUGUUCACUGGACAGAGGGAGGUCACCCACCCAGGGGAGGGACUGGUUGUGGGUGGAGGCUCCUUUGCGGAACUCUAGAGAUGUGUUUAUAUUUCUGGGUUCGAUAUACAGUACCAAGUAAUAAAAACUUGUCUGUGUCAUGGUC